rnacentral:rRNA from 1 species
AUUGAACGCUGGCGGCAGGCCUAACACAUGCAAGUCGAACGGUAGCACAGGGAGCUUGCUCUCGGGUGACGAGUGGCGGACGGGUGAGUAACGUCUGGGAAACUGCCCGAUGGAGGGGGAUAACUACUGGAAACGGUAGCUAAUACCGCAUAACGUCGCAAGACCAAAGUGGGGGACCUUCGGGCCUCACACCAUCGGAUGUGCCCAGAUGGGAUUAGCUAGUAGGUGGGGUAAUGGCUCACCUAGGCGACGAUCCCUAGCUGGUCUGAGAGGAUGACCAGCCACACUGGAACUGAGACACGGUCCAGACUCCUACGGGAGGCAGCAGUGGGGAAUAUUGCACGAUGGGCGCAAGCCUGAUGCAGCCAUGCCGCGUGUAUGAAGAAGGCCUUCGGGUUGUAAAGUACUUUCAGCGGGGAGGAAGGCGGUGAAGUUAAUAACUUCACCGAUUGACGUUACCCGCAGAAGAAGCACCGGCUAACUCCGUGCCAGCCGCCGCGGUAA